GAUGAACGCUGGCGGCGUGCCUAAUACAUGCAAGUCGAGCGAACAGACGAGGAGCUUGCUCCUUUGACGUUAGCGGCGGACGGGUGAGUAACACGUGGAUAACCUACCUAUAAGACUGGGAUAACUUCGGGAAACCGGAGCUAAUACCGGAUAAUAUAUUGAACCGCAUGGUUCAAUAGUGAAAGACGGUUUUGCUGUCACUUAUAGAUGGAUCCGCGCCGCAUUAGCUAGUUGGUAAGGUAACGGCUUACCAAGGCAACGACGCGUAGCCGACCUGAGAGGGUGAUCGGCCACACUGGAACUGAGACACGGUCCAGACUCCUACGGGAGGCAGCAGUAGGGAAUCUUCCGCAAUGGGCGAAAGCCUGACGGAGCAACGCCGCGUGAGUGAUGAAGGUCUUCGGAUCGUAAAACUCUGUUAUUAGGGAAGAACAAAUGUGUAAGUAACUAUGCACGUCUUGACGGUACCUAAUCAGAAAGCCACGGCUAACUACGUG
rnacentral:rRNA from 1 species